UGCCGCAGCCAUGGAGCGGAGGGCGGAGGCGCCGCCGCCGCCGCCGCAGGGCCUCGACUUCACCGUGGAGAACGUGGAAAAGGCUCUCCACCAGCUGUACUACGACCCCAACAUCGAGAACAAGAACUUGGCUCAAAAAUGGCUGAUGCAGGCGCAGGUGUCCCCACAGGCCUGGCACUUCAGCUGGCUGCUCCUCAACAUGGACAAGGUGCCCGAGAUCCAGUACUUUGGCGCCAGCGCCCUGCACAUCAAGAUCUCCCGCUACUGGAACGACAUCCCGGCCGACCAGUACGAGAGCCUCAAGUCCCAGCUCUUCACCCACAUCACUCGCUUCGCCGGUGGCUCCAAGAUCGUGCUGACCAGGCUGUGCGUGGCACUGGCCUCGCUGGCGCUCAGCAUGAUGCCCGAGGCCUGGCCCUGUGCCGUGGCCGACAUGGUGCGCAUGUUCCAGGCCGAGGACUCCAACGUGGACGGGCGGGCACGCUGCCUGGCGCUGCUGGAGCUGCUGACGGUGCUGCCUGAGGAGUUCCAAACCAGCCGGCUUCCCCAGUACCGCAAGGGCCAGGUGCGCAGCGUCCUGGCGCAGGAGUGUGGCUCCGUCUUCCCCUUGCUGGAGCAGCUGCUGCAGCAGCAGGACUCUCCGGGCUUCAUCAAGCAGAAGGUGUUGAAGUGCUUCUCCAGCUGGGUCCAGCUGGAGAUCCCUCUGAUGGACUGCGAGAACCUGAUCCAAGCAGCUUUCACCUCCCUGCAGGACCCGGAGCUCUUUGAUACAGCGGUAGAGGCGGUUGUCAAUGCCAUUUCCCAGCCGGAUGCCCAGAGGUAUGUGAACACCCUCCUGAAGCUCAUCCCCCCAGUGCUGGGGCUGCAGGAGCAGCUGCGCCAGGCGGUCCAGAGCGGGGACAUGGAGACGUCGCACGGGAUCUGCCGCAUCGCUGUGGCCCUGGGGGAGAACCACUCCAGGGCACUGCUGGACCAGGUGGAGCACUGGCAGAGCUUCUUAGCCCUGGUCAACAUGAUCAUGUUCUGCACGGGCAUCCCUGGGCACUAUCCUGUCAAUGAAACCACCAGUUCCUUGACACUCACCUUCUGGUACACGCUACAGGAUGACAUCCUCUCCUUUGAGCCGGACAAGCAGGCUGUGUACCAGCAGGUGUACAGGCCUGUCUACUUCCAGCUGGUGGAUGUGCUGCUGCACAAAGCCCAGUUCCCCUCCGAUGAGGAGUAUGGUUUCUGGUCAUCGGAUGAGAAGGAGCAGUUUCGGAUAUACAGGGUGGACAUCUCUGACACGUUGAUGUACGUGUAUGAGAUGCUGGGUGCUGAGCUCCUAAGCAGCCUCUAUGACAAAUUGGGUCGUCUCCUGACCAACACAGAGCAGCCAUCCACGUGGCAGCACACGGAGGCCUUACUUUAUGGUUUCCAGUCCAUCGCCGAGACCAUUGAUGUGAACUACUCUGAUGUGGUGCCAGGGCUGAUCGGCCUCAUCCCCCGUAUCAGCAUCAGCAACGUGCAGCUGGCCGACACAGUCAUGUUCACAAUCGGAGCCCUCUCAGAGUGGCUGGCUGAUCACCCUGUCAUGAUUAACAACGUGCUGCCGCUGGUGCUCCAGGCUCUGGGCAACCCUGAGCUCUCCAUCUCCAGUGUCUCCACCCUGAAGAAGAUCUGUCGGGAGUGCAAGUAUGACCUGCCGCCGUAUGCCGCCAACAUCGUGGCUGUGUCGCAGGAGGUGUUGAUGAAGCAGAUUCACAAGACAAGCCAGUGCAUGUGGCUGAUGCAGGCUCUUGGCUUCCUGCUCUCUGCGCUGCAAGUGGAGGAGAUCCUGAAGAACCUGCACUCCCUCAUCACUCCCUACAUCCAGCAGCUGGAGAAGCUGGCUGAUGAAACACCCAAUCCCUCCAACAAGCUGGCCAUCAUCCACAUUCUGGGGCUGCUCUCCAACUUGUUCACCACCCUGGAUAUCAGCCAUCAUGACGACGACCACGAAAGCACUGAGGUCAAGAAGCUGCCAGUGCAGCAAGGACCCAACCCAGUGGUGGUUGUUCUGCAGCAGGUCUUUCAGCUCAUACAGAAGGUCCUGAGCAAGUGGCUGAAUGAUGCCCAGGUGGUGGAGUCUGUCUGUGCCAUCUUUGAGAAGUCUGUGAAGACCCUCCUGGAUGACUUUGCUCCCAUGGUGCCCCAGCUGUGUGAGAUGCUGGGGCAGAUGUACAGCACUAUUCCCCAGGCCUCUGCCAUCGACCUGACACGACAGGGCCCAGGGAUCAUCCUGAUAUUGUUGAUUCAUUUAUGCAACUCCUGGCACAGACAGGUGAGGCCUCAGCUCCAGCACAACGCUUCUGUAGAUCCACACUUCUGUAGAUCCAGACUAGAGAACACAGGGAAUGGUAUCCAGAAAGAUCAGCAGAAGGUGAGAAGGAAAACUAGAGGAGAUGCAUGAGUCCUCAGAUGUGUAAAACAUAAGGCCACAGGCAUGGAUAAACAGCCCUUCGUUUAUUUUGAAUGCAACAAACAGUAAUGGGAGGAGGUCAUGGAAAAGGAUUUGGGUUAGAUGGUAGGAGGUGUAGCUAACAGCAAGGGGAAGCACUGACAGGUCGCCUGGGGAGCUGCUGUAGGAGGGCUUACAGGAUUCUCAGUAAGCCCAUUGCUCCUGGAGGGCACCAAGAGGUGAUCCUGCCUUGGGGAGUGAGGGUCUAGGCACCCCUCCAAGAGAGACUCCUCCAAGGUUGUUUGCUGUGUCCUUGGGAGGUAUUGAGUUUUUCUUUAGCUUGGGAUCUUUCUCCUUCUGGUGACAAUCAUGCUGCCAGCCCACCAUCUCCAGCAGCAGACCAAGACCCCAUGUUUCCUUGGGCUUUUUACUCCAACAACCUUACAGAGACCAAAAACUCCCUAUGCCCUUCCUCUCCACUCACAUGUGGGACUCCUUCUAAGGUUUCCUUCCCUCCCUGAGUCUGUGGCUCUCCCAGGGCUGAGCACCCAGCAGGGUACUGUGAAAGACAAGAAUGAUAAGCAAGAAAUGAAAUCUCUCAGGACUUCAGGGGAUGCCUGAUAGCAGAGGUGCAUCCAGUCUCACCAACAUGUUCUGCUUUCAUAAAGCUGUUUCUAGAGUCUGUCCUCCCUAGGUCUUGCAUCACUCUGUGUCUUUUUUGUGAAUUUAUGAGGUGGAUACUGGAGUUCCAGCCAGUUAUUUCCAUCUUGCCAGCCUUGCGAAGAAAAGGGACGUGUCCCCUUGUCUCCUGCUUGCUCAUACUUCUGAUACCUGCACAUGAGCCUUCAGUCAUGAGUGUGCAGGAAGCUGUCAGUGUGUGACUUAAGAUCUCAGCUGACUUUUUGGCAUAUUUAUCUGGGCUCAACUGCAACCCGAGUCUGCCCAGUUUGUGCAGCUGAUGACUUUGCCAAUGUGUUAAUUUGUGAUCUGCUCCCGAUUAUGUCUGGCAGAUCACAAGACCAUGCUGGUUUAAAUCAAAUGUCGUAGGGAUACUGGAGUCCCUGGAGUUAUUCUUAGUACUCAUAACUAAGUAUAAAUUAACCAGCCUUCCAUAAGCCUUUGCUGAGCUGUCUGGCACCCUUUGGGGUGGCCGGGCUGAGUGCAGGACGAAGUGAGGAGCAUCAGUGAUGUGUUUGUGAGUUCUUGCCUGGCUUCCAACCAGGAGGUACCACUUGUGCAUGCUUGUGGUCAUCCUGAGACAGGAUUUGGUGGAGUGCACACCACAGCCUGGCUCUUCCUAGGCUGCACGAUCUCCAAACCAUGAUGGCUUAUGUUGGCUCUUGGCUCAGAGCAGUUUCCAUGUCCAGCAGGAGCUGCUAGCUGGAGGCAGUGCCACAGGCUGUGGGAACAGCACUCUCCAGUUCACCUCCCCAGUGGCUGCCAGUGCUUCCACCCAAAGGCAUGCAGUUCACCACCAUUGUGGACCUCCGUAGCACCCUGGCAGUGUCUCCAGGGGCAGAAUGUGCCUCGCUGGGCAGAAGAUGUGGGACUUUCUUUGCCUGCCCAUGCACUGUCCUCCAGCUCCUCCUUGCCUGUGCACGGUUAUUACCUCCUGAGGCAGUGUUCCUUCCUAAGCUGGAGGUUCUAUUCUAUCAGGUGUGUACUUAGGGAAGAUAUGUUGGUCCUGGACGUGAGGAGAGUGCUCUGGAGCACUGCAGGAACCAGCUGUGCAGUACAUACUAUCCCUUGGCUGUGGGAGGAGUGGAGCUUGGUGGCCUCCCAUGUCCCCAGGUACAGAAGAGCUGCUCUUCAGACCUCUCUGCAGGGUGUCCCAGCUCCACAGAGGAGAACCAUGCUGUCCAGCCUGCAAGACCUACCUCCACAGCACCCACUGCAGAGGACAGGGGGGAUGUUUCCAGUGUGAAACAUCUGCAGACCUGUCCUCAUCCCAGAGCCACACUGGCAAGAGACAUGGAGGACAGACGAGCUGUGAGAAGCCCCAUGAAGAAGUGAGAUUCUACUGAGAAGAAGUAGCUGUGCCUACCCAGUGUGGCUUCCUUGUGGAGCAACUCCGCAGGUUUCCAUCUCUGUCUGCAUUAGAUGUGUACAUAUGCCUGGAUUGAGCUCACAUGCUGUGCUCCCUUGGUGGAGAUGUCCUGCAGGAAGGAGUCCUCUUGUAUCAGAGCACAUUCACUCAUGGUACUCACCAAGCCAGGAGCAGGUGCUGCAGAGGGCCCACAGGAGUGCCUGGACACCUCUGGCUACUGCAGGCCAGGCUGGCUAGGAGAAACACCAUGCAGGUAGGUGGAUUUGGUAACCUGAGCAUGUUGGAAGACUUGUGCCAGCUGAACAGCUUUGCGGAAUGGAGGAGUUGAUGACUGCGUGGUGGCACCAGAGCCAGGCAUCCUUGGCAGUAUGCUGCUGGGGACAGCCAGGUGGCUUUAAUGGACUGAAAUGACAACAUAUCUUGUGUGUGUUUGUCCAGUAUGGGGCUGAGCAGAGUGCAGCAGAGCAGGGAGCGGGUGCGCAGCCAGCUAGCAGGCUGUCCUUGCAGUGAGCAUGUGGGACAGGCUGUAUAUACACACACAGGCAUAAUGCAGCCCCUUGUCUCUCCAGCGAAGGCCACUGCUUGCAUCUAGCAGGCAAGCAGUUCCCAGUGGCUGUACCACCUCUGUUGGGUAUACAAUGCCUUUUGCACCCAAUCUGUCUCAUCUCUUGCAGUGUGUGAUACAGAGAGUCAGAAAGGAGAAGGGGUAACCCUGAAACUUGCCAAGCUUCCUGCUGUCCAGUUAUGUUCCCUGCAAGGGGUCAGUAGCCAAGGGUUUUCCCUAGAGGAGAAGGAGGACAUAAGUCUGUUUGGCUCCAGGGGGGCUGGGUGGCUGUGGACAGAUGGCACUCAGCACUGCUGGCUGAUGGCUGUCCAUGCUUCUACACUGUGGAACAAGUUUGGAGGGCAGCAUGCAGCUCAGCCCAUGGAACAGAGACUCCACUCCUGGCUCUCAGACUCUUGGGAAGAGCUGUGGCUGCUGUUCCCACUGUUGCAGUGACAGUGGGACAGGAUGUAUGAUUGUCGUCCCCUGUGCCUGCCAACAGCAAGCAGAAACCCAACCAUGGAGCAGCAGGAACAGGCUGAAAUGUUUUUGUCCUGUACUGCCCUGUUCUGGCAUAGCAGGGACCAAGCCCAGCAGUGGUCCCAUUGUGCCAGAGCUCAGGUUGUUCCCAGCCGUGGUGGAGUAGCUAAGCCACAGCAACUGGUGGGCUCACCAAGUGGCAGAAUAAACCCAAAGUUUUUGGUCUCACACCAGCUGCUUGUGAAUUGCCAAGCAGUUUCAGCAUCUCGUUCCCUCUACUGACCUGCAGCAAGAGCAGAGCAAGUUGUUGGCCUAGGCUGGAGUCAAACAAAAUGUGUGUCAUUGAAAUUGAUGGCUGUGACCUCAUGAACACUGGCAGUGAGAGGACCAAGCCAGCAGGGGCUGUUAUAUGCUGGGACACCUGUGUCCCAGGAGCACUGCCUCUGCCUGUUCUGGGACAGGAUGCCUCUGUCUGCGUCUGAAGCAUUUGUGUAUAUACCACUUUAGUAUCUAUCCUCAUGUCUUGGGGUCAGAGCUCCCCAAAUGCAAAUGGCCUGGAUGUAUGAUUGGUGUUUUCUUGGGGAGAAAAGCGACCGUUUUCCUUCUGUACUGUGUGAAUCUGCUGUUACCGUGCAUGUGCCCAGGUAAGUGUGCUCCAGGCAGAGGCUGUCUGGGGCGCCUGGAUCCUUGGAGCCUUCCUGGCUGCUGCUGCAGGGCUGUGUUUAUUCUGUCUGUCUGUGUGCCUUGCAGGCUCUGAAAAGGAAGCCAGACCUCUUCCUGUGCAGCAACCUGGACGUCAAGGCAGUAUUUCAGUGUGGUGUCCUUUCCCUCAAGUUCCCUGAAGCCCCA